rnacentral:rRNA from 1 species
GAUUAGAUAUAAUAUUAUUUAAAUUUAUAUAGAGGUGAAAUUUAAAGUUUGAACUUAGAUAAUAUUGUGUUUAAUUAUUUUAGAAGCUAUUAAUGUUUAGAUAUAAACCAGGAUUAGAUACCCUGUUAUACUAUACUUAGAAUUAUAUAGCCUGGGUAGUAAUUAGUUAUGAUCUUUAAAUCUAAAGGAUUUGGCGGUAUUCAAGUCUAGUUAGAGGAACCUGCACUUUAAACGAUAACCCACGAAUUAUCUUACUUUGUUUUGUAUUUCAGUUUAUAUAUCGCCAUUAUAAAGUAAUACUUAAAAUUAUUUAUUGGAAUAAAAAAUUUUUAAGAUAUUAGGUCAAGGUGUAGCUAAUAGCAAAGUUAGAUGUGGGUUACAAUGUAUCAUAUAUAGACGGAUAAAGUUUUGAAAUAUACUUUGGAAGGUGGAUUUAAUAGUAAAUAUAUUUUAAUAUGGUAUAUUGAUAAAAGCUCUAGAAUAUGUACAUAUCGCCCGUCGCUCUCGUUU